GUGGGGAAUUUUGGACAAUGGGCGCAAGCCUGAUCCAGCAAUGCCGCGUGCAGGAAGAAGGCCUUCGGGUUGUAAACUGCUUUUGUACGGAACGAAACGGUCCUGGUUAAUACCUGGGGCUAAUGACGGUACCGUAAGAAUAAGCACCGGCUAACUACGUGCCAGCAGCCGCGGUAAUACGUAGGGUGCGAGCGUUAAUCGGAAUUACUGGGCGUAAAGCGUGCGCAGGCGGUGCUGUAAGACAGGCGUGAAAUCCCCGGGCUCAACCUGGGAAUUGCGCUUGUGACUGCAGUGCUGGAGUACGUCAGAGGGGGAUGGAAUUCCGCGUGUAGCAGUGAAAUGCGUAGAUAUGCGGAGGAACACCGAUGGCGAAGGCAGUCCCCUGGGCCUGUACUGACGCUCAUGCACGAAAGCGUGAGGAGCAAACAGGAUUAGAUACCGAGUAGUCC
rnacentral:rRNA from 1 species